UGCAGUGUAGCUCAAUGGUAAAGUGCUUUCCCAGCAUGUAUGAGGCCCCAGGUUCUAUUCCUAGCACCAA
rnacentral:tRNA from 1 species